rnacentral:rRNA from 1 species
CCAAUAGCGUAUAUUAAAGUUGUUGCAGUUAAAAAGCUCGUAGUUGAAUUUCGGGGUCUAUCCGUUGGUCGGGCUUUUGGGUCCGUACUGGCGUUAUGGAUUCCUACCUUCUGAAUAACCGGCAUGCCAUUAAUUUGGUGCGCUGGGGAAGCAGGACUGUUACCUUGAAAAAAUUAGAGUGCUUAAAGCAGGCUAUCGCCUGAAUACAUUAGCAUGGAAUAAUGAAAUAGGACGGCAUGGUUCUAUUUUGUUGGUUUCUAGGAUCACCGUAAUGAUUAAUAGGGAUAGUUGGGGGCAUUAGUAUUCAAUUGUCAGAGGUGAAAUUCUUGGAUUUAUUGAAGACUAACUUCUGCGAAAGCAUUUGCCAAGGAUGUUUUCAUUAAUCAAGAACGAAAGUUAGGGGAUCGAAGACGAUCAGAUACCGUCGUAGUCUUAACCAUAAACUAUGCCGACUAGGGAUCGGACGAUGUUAAUUUUUUAAUGACUCG